rnacentral:rRNA from 1 species
UCAUAUGCUUGUCUCAAAGCUUAAGCCAUGCAAGUGUAAGUUCACGCCACGCAUUGGAACGGGCGAAACCGCGAAUGGCUCAGGAACCGGACCUAAUCCUCGGGACCGUAAUCCUCUUCGGAGGCGAUGGAUAACUGUGGCAAUUCUAGAGCUAAUACAUGUGAUACAUGCCGCGAUCGGUCGGCGCGCUGCCGUCGCCUUCGUGCCGUCACGCGCGUGGGCACUCGCGUCGACCGUUACGGGUCGCGGCGCUACAUAUUAGACUGAGACCGAUGCGCGUCAUUCCGUCCUCUCGUCGUCGUCGGCGUUGUCGUCGUCCUCCCUGGGCGUGCGGUGUCGUCGUUGGCGGCGGGGCCCAAGGGCGGCGCGCUCCGCUUUGGUGACUCUGGAUAACACACUGGUCGAUCGCACUGGCUUUCACGCCUGGCGACGGGUCUCUCGAGGGUCCGCCCUAUCAACUGUCGACGGUCGGUUAAGUGCCUACCGUGGUUACUACGGGUAACGGGGAAUCGGGGUUCGAUUCCGGAGAGGGAGCAUGCGAAACGGCUACCACAUCCAAGGAAGGCAGCAGGCGCGCAAAUUACCCACUCCCGGCACGGGGAGGUAGUGACGAAAAAUAACGACGCGGGACUCUGUCGAGGCCCCGCGAUCGGAAUGAGUACACUUCAAAUCCGUUAACGAGGACCAACCGGAGGGCAAGUCUGGUGCCAGCAG